rnacentral:rRNA from 1 species
GAUGAACGCUGGCGGCGUGCCUAAUACAUGCAAGUCGAGCGAACAGACGAGGAGCUUGCUCCUCUGACGUUAGCGGCGGACGGGUGAGUAACACGUGGAUAACCUACCUAUAGACUGGGAUAACUUCGGGAAACCGGAGCUAAUACCGGAUAAUAUAUUGAACCGCCUGGUUCAAUAGUGAAAGACGGUUUUGCUGUCACUUAUAGAUGGAUCCGCGCCGCAUUAGCUAGUUGGUAAGGUAACGGCUUACCAAGGCAACGAUGCGUAGCCGACCUGAGAGGGUGAUCGGCCACACUGGAACUGAGACACGGUCCAGACUCCUACGGGAGGCAGCAGUAGGGAAUCUUCCGCAAUGGGCGAAAGCCUGACGGAGCAACGCCGCGUGAGUGAUGAAGGUCUUCGGAUCGUAAAACUCUGUUAUUAGGGAAGAACAAAUGUGUAAGUAACUAUGCACGUCUUGACGGUACCUAAUCAGAAAGCCACGGCUAACUACGUG